UGCCUCAUAGCUCAGCAGGUUAGAGCGCUGUCCUGAUAAGACAGAGACCCCUGGUUCGACUCCAGGUGAGGCAA
rnacentral:tRNA from 1 species